rnacentral:rRNA from 1 species
AGCAGCCGCGGUAAUUCCAGCUCCAAUAGCGUAUAUUAAAGUUGUUGCAGUUAAAAAGCUCGUAGUUGAAUUUCGGGAUCAAGGAAUCGGUCAUGCCUCGGUAUGUACUGGUUUUAUUGGUUCUCACCUUCUAAAGAACCAUAAUGUCAUUCAUUUGAUGUUAUGGGGAAUUAGGACUGUUACCUUGAAAAAAUUAGAGUGUUUAAAGCAGGCUUACGCUUGAAUACAUUAGCAUGGAAUAAUGAAAUAGGACAUCAGAUUCUAUUUUGUUGGUUUCUAGGAUCGAUGUAAUGAUUAAUAGGGAUAGUUGGGGGCAUUAGUAUUCAAUUGUCAGAGGUGAAAUUCUUGGAUUUAUUGAAGACUAACUACUGCGAAAGCAUUUGCCAAGGAUGUUUUCAUUAAUCAAGAACGAAAGUUAGGGGAUCGAAGACGAUCAGAUACCGUCGUAGUCUUAACCAUAAACUAUGCCGACUAGGGAUCGGAUGAUGUUAAUUUUAUAAUGACUCAUUCGGCACCUUACG